CCGCCAUCUUUCCUCUUUGCUGCCGGCCGCUGACGUCACGCCCGCACUCCCCUCUCAGCAGCCAAUCACCGCUCAGCGUCUUGCUCUUCGUUACGUGCAGCAGACGGGACGGUGCAGUGACGUGAUGCUGCCAUCCAACGAGGACAAAAUCUGUGCGGUCCUGGGCAAUCCUUGUCUCCUCUGCAUGACGAGCUGUGUCUGAUGGGCAGCUCCUUCAGCCACCAGGAGCAGGACUGAACCACUCACACGCUCCUUUGUGCCCACCGCCAUCAGACUGGACAACAGCAGUUUGGCUUAAGCUGCGUCCAGUUUGCAUCUGAUCAACAUGACACUUAAUCUGCCAGUUGACACUUUAGUUUAUUCCACACUUUGUCUGUCGUGUUUAGUCAUUUUAUUCAUCUUGAUGUAGCAAUUUUAUUUUAUUUAUCUUUGAUUUAUCAAUUGUUUUUUUUCUCUCUUCUAUCGUAUUCUAUUUAAUGUCUUUUUGUCUUGUUCUGCUUCGAUACUUGAAUUUGCCCUCUGGGGAUCGAUAAAGUACAUCUUACCUUAAUGAAUACUUUCUAGUGUUUCUGCUUCUCAUACUGUAUAUUUCUUUUAUCAUUAUUAUCAUUAUUAUCACUUCUCUGUUUUAUCUGUAUUUAUUUCUGUUAUUAUUUCUUUGUUGUGCUGCUGAUCUUAUCUUAUCUUAUCUUAUCUUACUGUCUUUGUCUAACAGAUUCAAGCAGCUGCAACCAAAGAUGUCAUGACUUUAUUAAAGUGAAGAAACAUCAGCAGCUUCUAAUUCAGGACUUUGAGCUUCUUUUCAAACGGAUGUAAACUCAGCUCAGUUUCAAAAGAACCGGAGAAAACGAUCAUCAGUAUCAGGAGGCGACACACCGGAUCCACCGGCUGCACAAAGCUCUCUGAUACCCUGCAGAAACACCGGAAAUGCUCUUCAAAAUAAAGGCCAUAUGUCGUUUAAAGAAAAACAAAAAAGACCACAUGCUGGUAUGUUUAAAACAACUAAAUGCAAAAUAAUAAAAAUCCUGUAAUGAAGUGUAGUUUUUAUGCUGCCUGUACUUUACAGGACUUUAUAUUCAUACUCUGUUUAUGUGACGCUGCAGGUUUGACUCUGUGAGAAAAAACAAUGACACAUGCAGACACAUGAUCAGUCAAUCAAUCAAUUGAUCGAUCAAUCAAUCAAUCAAUCAAUCAAUCAAUUUUAUUUAUAGAGCCCAAUAUCACAAAUCACAAUUUGCCUCACAGGGCUUUACAGCAUACGACAUCCCUCUGUCCUUAAGACCCUCACAGCUGAUCAGGAAAAACUCCCCAAAAAACCCUUUAACGGGGAAAAAACGGUAGAAACCUCAGGAAGAGCAACUGAGGAGGGAUCCCUCUUCCAGGACGGACAGACGUGCAAUAGAUGUCGUACAGAACAGAUCAACAUGAUAAAUUAACAGUAAUCUGUAUGACACAAUGAGACAG